rnacentral:rRNA from 1 species
CCUACGGGAUGCUGCAGUGAGGAAUAUUGGUCAAUGGACGAGAGUCUGAACCAGCCAAGUAGCGUGAAGGAUGACUGCCCUAUGGGUUGUAAACUUCUUUUAUAAAGGAAUAAAACGAGGCACGUGUGCCUUUUUGCAUGUACUUUAUGAAUAAGGAUCGGCUAACUCCGUGCCAGCAGCCGCGGUAAUACGGAGGAUCCGAGCGUUAUCCUGAUUGAUUGGGUUUAACGGGAGCGUAGAUGGGUUGUUAAGUCAGUUGUGAAAGUUUGCGGCACAACCGUAAAAUUGCAAUUGAUACUGGCAGUCUUGAGUACAGUUGAGGUAGGCGGAAUUCGUGGUGUAGCGGUGAAAUGCUUAGAUAUCACGAAGAACCCUGAUUGCGAAGGCAGCUUACUAAACUGUGACUGACAUUGAUGCUCGAAAGUGUGGGUAUCAAACAGGAUUAGAUACCCGUGUAGUC